rnacentral:misc_RNA from 1 species
GACGUAGGGUGCAAGCGUUGUCCGGAAUUAUUGGGCGUAAAGAGUUCGUAGGUGGUUACUUAUGUCCGGUGUUAAAUAAUAGAGCUCAACUCUAUAUCUGCAUCGGAAACUGAGCAACUUGAGUUAGGUAGGGGUCAGAAGAAUUCCUGGUGUAGCGGUGAAAUGCGUAGAUAUCAGGAGGAACACCAGUGGCGAAAGCGUCUGACUGGGCCUAUACUGACACUGAGGAACGAGAGCUAGGGUAGCAAAAGGG